rnacentral:rRNA from 1 species
UACGUAGGGUGCGAGCGUUGUCCGGAAUUAUUGGGCGUAAAGAGCUCGUAGGCGGUUUGUUGCGUCGGCCGUGAAAACCUGCAGCUUAACUGUGGGCCUGCGGCCGAUACGGGCAGACUUGAGUUCGGUAGGGGAGACUGGAAUUCCUGGUGUAGCGGUGAAAUGCGCAGAUAUCAGGAGGAACACCGGUGGCGAAGGCGGUUCUCUGGGCAUUACCUGACGCUGAGGAGCGAAAGUGUGGGGAGCGAACAGG